UGCAAAGCUAUGAUGGAUAAG
rnacentral:siRNA from 1 species